GACGAACGCUGGCGGUAUGCUUAACACAUGCAAGUCGAACGAGCAGCUUUUUAAUGAUCCUUCGGGUGAACUAAGAAGUGGAAAGUGGCGAACGGGUGAGUAACGCGUGAGUAACCUGCCUCAUGGAAAGGAAUAGCCUCGGGAAACUGGGAGUAAAGCCUUAUAUUAUUGCGUUGUCGCAUGGCAAUUCGAUGAAAACUCCGGUGCCAUGAGAUGGACCCGCGUCCAAUUAGCUAGUUGGUGAGAUAACAGCCCACCAAGGGAACGAUGGGUAACCGGUCUGAGAGGGCGAACGGUCACACUGGAACUGAGACACGGUCCAGACUCCUACGGGAGGCAGCAGUGGGGAAUAUUGCGCAAUGGGGGAAACCCUGACGCAGCAAUACCGCGUGAGUGAAGAAGGUUUUCGGAUCGUAAAACUCUUUUGUUGGGGAAGAAGAAGUGACGGUACCCAAUGAAGAAGUCCCGGCUAACUACGUGCCAGCCGCCGCAGUAA
rnacentral:rRNA from 1 species